rnacentral:lncRNA from 1 species
AUGGUCAGUAACCAGCUGGUGAAAUACAAUGAUUCAGAGAAGGAAGCAACACACACGAGUCUGUGCUUAUCUUUUUCAGAGCAGCUGAUCCUACUGGGUCAGACACAGUGUUCCGUGAUCACAACUACACUGCCUCCAGGGUCAGCACUAGAAGAGGUGAAAACAGAUGGACCUUGGCCACACCAGCAAGACAAGUUUGCUAAUUUCUGUCAGAUGCAUGUGAGUAUUCAGCCAUUUAAGCAAACUACUCUGUAUGCAGAACCUACAUAGACAAAAGAUGCCAAGAUCAAGAACAGAAAGUGUAACCUUCUAUUUCUUUUUAUGUUUUCCUUCUUUGUCUUAGGGAGCACUGCUAUCUUGUUAUGCCACCCCAUGGAAGCGUAAGGAAUGGAUUCAUGUGUUUGUGGAAAAUAGUUGUGUUAGUAGGUAGGGAAAGAUGAAAAUGAGAUCCCAGAUUGGUAUUUUAUGUUAGUAAGCAUUGUUAAAGUUACAGAUGUGGUUGUUCAGUGUUUGUUUUUGUUGUUGUGUUGUUCUUUUUUAAGUAACUAUUUUAUGUAGAGACCUCUUGCUGUAGACAAUUCAGUUUUAUUUCCAUUGUUUAGUUUUUAUGUUAUUAUUUACAAUAGGGAGUGUAAGAAGAGCAAAACGUUACUUCAGCACCUAAGACAUUUAAGGAAGAGUGAAAGCAAUAACAGUGUUGUUCAGAAAAAGCCUAUUUGGUCUCUGUUCUUCCUUAAUACCCAGAAGAAAAGCAGCCGUGACAAUUUAAUGGAUUUUACUGUCAGAAUAAAAUUCCUAUUAAUAUGAGAAAACUGGGAACA